CAGGCCUAACACAUGCAAGUCGAACGAACCUUCGUUGAAGGGAAGUAGCUUGCUAUAGCCCUUCGAUAGAAGGUUAGUGGCGAACGGGUGAGUAAUACGUGGGUGACCUGCCCUGAAGAGGGGGAUAACCACUGGAAACGGUGGCUAAUACCCCAUGAGGUCACGAGGGUUAGAGGCCUCGUGAUUAAAGCUCCGGCGCUUUGGGAGGGGCUCAUGGCCUAUCAGCUUGUUGGUAGGGUAAUGGCCUACCAAGGCUAUGACGGGUAGCUGGUCUGAGAGGACGAUCAGCCACACUGGCACUGAGACACGGGCCAGACUCCUACGGGAGGCAGCAGUGAGGAAUAUUGCCCAAUGGACGAAAGUCUGAGGCAGCAACGCCGCGUGAGCGAUGAAGGCCUUCGGGUUGUAAAGCUCUUUUCUGGGGGAAGAGGAAGGACGGUACCCCAGGAAUAAGCCUCGGCUAACUACGUGCCAGCAGCCGCGGUAAAACGUAGGAGGCGAGCGUUAUCCGGAUUUACUGGGCGUAAAGCGCGUGCAGGCGGUCUGGUAAGUUGGAUGUGAAAUCUCCUGGCUCAACUGGGAGGGGUCAUUCAAUACUGCCAGACUUGAGGGCGGAAGAGGGAGGUGGAAUUCCCGGU
rnacentral:rRNA from 1 species